ACUGCCCCUUGAGGUGUUGCUGUGCCCCACGUGUGUCAGCAGGCUGCAGAGCCAAAGGCUGCUAUGUCAAUGCUUCGCGCUCUGGCCCCUGAGCACCUGAAUGAUCAGUAGGCAGACAGC
ensembl:snoRNA